rnacentral:lncRNA from 1 species
GACUCAGUAAGCGCUUCGCUGCCUGCACGUGAACAGGAACCUGGUCCGUGUUCAGCGCAGAGGCCAGAGAACACAGAGGAAACGCACAAUUCUGCUUCCACAUCCUUCAGAGACUCACCAAGUGUUGCAGCAGGUCCUGGUUCAGUACAAUGGUCUCACUCUCCACAGCGGGACAGACGUGCUGCUGCAGACACAUCUGGUACCGGGUCAGUCUGCAGGCGGCCGCAGACUCCUGCUCCCAACACACAGGCACAUGACACAUGGGCCGAGAACAGAACCGAGUUAGAAGCUGUUCAGACGGAGGAGGGAGGAGCUGGAUUGGGCCACUGCCCCGAGGAACCGAGCCGCUACGUGGUGGAGCUGGUGUUUGGCGUCUUGCUCAAGGACACACCUUCCGCUCCCCAGGCCGACGCUCUACCUACUGAGCUACCAGUUAGUAGAGUCAGUGGGAGGUUUACCUGUCUGAGGGGAACCGCUGCCUCUGUGCAGGGCCAGACCGGCAGCCCGCUGAAAGCGCUCUGUGGGACGAGACGGACGCAGUCAGGACGGGUAGAGUGGACGCAGCGGAGCUGUGUGUGUGUCUGUGUCUGUGUCUGUGUCUGUGUCUGUGUCUGUGUCUGUGUCUGUGUCUGUGUCUGUGUCUGUGUCUGUCUGUGUUUGUCUGUGUCUGUCUGUGUCUGUGUCUGUGUCUGUGUCUGUGUCUGUGUCUGUGUCUGUGUCUGUGUCUGUGUCUGUCUGUGUUUGUCUGUGUCUGUGUCUGUCUGUGUCUGUGUCUGUGUCUGUGUCUGUGUCUGUGUCUGUCUGUGUCUGUCUGUGUCUGUGUUUGUCUGUGUCUGUGUGUGUCUGUGUUUGUCUGUGUCUGUGUCUGUGUCUGUGUCUGUCUGUGUCUGUGUCUGUGUCUGUGUCUUUGUCUGUGUCUGUGUCUGUGUCUGUGUCUGUGUCUGUCUGUGUCUGUGUUUGUGUUUGUCUGUGUUUGUCUGUGUUUGUCUGUGUCUGUGUCUGUGUCUUUGUCUGUCUGUGUCUGUGUUUGUCUGUGUCUUUGUCUGUGUCUGUGUCUGUGUCUUUGUCUGUGUCUGUGUCUGUGUCUGUGUCUGUCUGUGUCUGUGUCUGUGUCUGCGUCUGUGUCUGUGUCUGUGUCUGUGUCUGUGUUUGUCUGUGUCUGUGUCUGUGUCUGUGUCUGUGUCUGUGUCUGUGUCUGUCUGUGUCUGUGUUUGUCUGUGUCUGUGUCUGUGUUUGUCUGUGUCUGUGUCUGUGUCUGUGUCUUUGUCCGUGUCCGUGUCCGUGUCCGUGUCUGUGUUUGUCUGUGUUUGUAUGUGUCUGUCUGUAUCUGUGUCUGUGUUUGUCUGUGUCUGUCUGUGUGUCUGUGUCUGUCUGUGUGUCCGUGUCUGUGUGUCCGUGUCUGUGUUUGUUUGUGUUUGUUUCUGUGUCUGUCUGUUUCUUUGUCUGUGUCCGUGUCUGUGUGUGUCUUACUGUGUCUGUGUCUAUGUUUGUGACUGUGCCCGUGUCUGUCUGUGUCUGUGUUUGUUUGUGUCUGUGUUUGUCUGUGUCUGUGUUUGUUUUUGUCUGUGUUUGUCUAUGUCUGUGUUUCUGUCUGUGCGUGUCUGUGUUUCUGUCUGUUCCCGUGUCUGUCCAUGUCUAUGUUUCUGUUUGUGUCUGCGCCUGUCUGUUUCUUUGUCUGUGUCCGUGUCUGUGUUUGUCUGUGUCUGUCUGUGUCUGUGUUUGUCUGUGUCUUUGUCUGUGUCUGUGUUUGUCUGUGUCUGUGUCUGUGUCUGUGUCUGUGUCUGUGUUUGUCUGUCUGUGUUUGUCUUUGUCUGUUUCUGUCUGUCUGUGUCUGUGUCUGUGUCUGUCUGUGUUCGUGUCUGCCUGUGUCUGUGUUUGUCUGUGUUUGUCUGUGUCUGUGUCUGUGUCCGUGUUUGUCUGUGUCUGUGUCCGUGUUUGUCUGUGUCUGUCUGUGUGUCUGUGUCUGUGUUUGUCUGUGUCUGUGUCUGUGUUUGUCUGUCUGUGUUUGUCUGUGUCCGUGUGUCUGUGUCUGUGUCUGUCUGUGUCCGUGUCUGUCUUUGUCUGUGUUUGUCUGUGUUUGUCUGUGUCUGCGUCUGUGUUUAUCUGUGUCUGUGUCUGUGUGUCCGUGUCUGUGUCUGUGUCUGUGUCUGUGUCUGUGUUUGUUUGUGUUUGUUUCUUUGUCCGUCUGUUUCUUUGUCUGUGUCCGUGUCUGUGUGUGUCUUACUGUGUCUGUGUCUGUGUCUAUGUUUCUGUCUGUGCCCGUGUCUGUGUCUGUCUGUGUCUGUUUGUUUUUGUCUGUGCUUGUCUGUGUCUGUGUUUUUGUCCGUGUCCAGCCUCACCAUGUUCCUCAGCCUGUUGCUGUAG